CCUCCGUUGGUGAACCAGCGGAGGGAUCAUUACCGAGUUUACAACUCCCAAACCCCUGUGAACAUACCAUUUGUUGCCUCGGCGGUGCCUGCUUCGGCAGCCCGCCAGAGGACCCAAACCCUUGAUUUUAUACAGUAUCUUCUGAGUAAAUGAUUAAAUAAAUCAAAACUUUCAACAACGGAUCUCUUGGUUCUG
rnacentral:misc_RNA from 1 species